ensembl:lncRNA
CCUCAUUCCGCCAUCUUCGCUCCUCUUCACGUCAGCCAAACCGGGGGCGGGCGGCUCCCCUAAGUCCGCCUUCAUCACUGGCACUGAGUAGUGAUUGGGUUUUUGCUUGUGGGCGCGCGCUUCCUUUCAGUCACGAAUUGGCUAGUAUGUAUGUCAAUCAACAGUGCGUCCACGCCUACGAUUUUUGGGGGGUCGGAUUGGGUGGUCGGUUUGAGGAAAUAGGGAAAAUCAUUUUUGAGAUUAAUUCAUUAGGAAUGUAAAGUUUUUUCCGCCUAAGAGCACCACCACUUCUUGGUAACAUAGUGUGGCCAGGCUCCACAACUAUUUUAAACCGCUGUUAGAUUUAAACUACAUUACUAAUAAUGUCAUUGUCAGGCCUGAAGACGUUGGAUGCUUGGUAUCUAAGGAAACAGCUUAAUGGUUUCGCCAACUGUAGGUUCUGAGAACCUUCCUUCAGGGCUAGUUCCAGGAGAGGCGAGGAAGGUAAUGUUGACAGAUGGUGUGGUGUCCAGUGGUUCCAGCCUCUUAUCAAAGAAUUUGAUGAAGACAAUUGAUGAAUUUAACAGUGUAGCAUUAUUGAGGAAAAUGAGAGAAAAAGAAGAGAAGAAAUGGAGAGGAAAGAAGAAGAAAGAGAAAAAUGAAGAUCCUGUAUGUCUUGCACACAGGACUGCCACUCAAGAACAAAGGGGAAGUGGCCAGGAGGCCCAAGAGCCCUGUCUUUUAUAUCUUCUUUGGAUGUCAGAUCUGGGCCUUCCUGUGCAGGACUCCAAAGCUGCUCUGUGCAUGCUCUGGGUUGUGAUUUGACAGCUCUCCGUGAUUGACAGGUCAUUCCCAGUAGCCCAGCCUGAUUUGCCAUUCCCUAAUCUUCUACCUCAUUUCCCGCUGAGAGACAUAAACCCUCAUAAUUCUUAUGGGGUGCUGAGGGAGUGGAGGGCUCUGUCUUCAUAUAGCUACUUAUUGCUGAAGAGCUCUCUGAUUAUCUUAGGAUGUUAUGGCUCACUAGCUAGGCUGAGGAAAACCUGUCACAAGACAGUGAGAAAGGAGUUAGUGUCUAUAUAUUGAGACUGUUGAGGGCCGGGGAUUUAGCUCAGUGGUUCUGGUGCCUACUUUGCAAGCGCAAGGACCCAAGUUCGAUCCCCAGUACCAAAAAAAAGAGAGAGACUGUUGAGCUUAUCUGUUUAAUGGACGAGAGUUUGGUGAGUGAAACUGUCAGGAGCCUGUGGAGGCAAAGAGGAAUGUUAGGUAGGCUAUCAGUGUCUAUUUAUGGUGGCUUUACUUAUGUGUGCUCAGAGCAGAACUGGAAUCUUGCUUUCUGAAGAUGACCCUCAAGUCUUCCAGAGAUUCAUAGAAGUAGCUUUCUCCUUUUGGGUUGUUUUUUUCUUCAGAUAGUUUAGGUGGAGAUGGCUUUAUCCUAAUGAGAUGGAUCCAGUUAUCUAUCUCUGCCACCUUUAUUUCAGUGGCCAUGCAAAGAUCAUUGAAAGGGGACCUACCAUUUUGGUUUUAAUUGGUCUACAUGGGUCCCUUCUUUCCAAGGUUUUUUUAUUUUUUUUGGUACUGCGGAUUGAACUUGGGACCCUGUACUUGUGAGGCAGGCGACAGCACCACUAAGCCAAAUUCCCCGCCCCUUCCUUCCAAGUUUUAAUGAGCACUUAAUCUCCCAGGCAGACAAUAGAUGGUCCCCUUGGGCCAGGAGCUGGCAGGACGUCAUUCCCAAAUAAUUGGACAGCCUGUUGAACUGUUAAGAUAUUGUAAGAUGGGGCCAGGGAUUUAGCUCAGUGGUUCCCCUGCCUGCCUCACAAACACAAGGACCCAAGUUCGAUCCCCAGUACCAAAAAAAAAAAAAAAAGAUAUUGUAAGAGUUUUGUGGUCUCUAGGUCUAUCACCAUAUCAGACGAUAGAAAAGGCCUCCCAUGUAGCAUCUCAUAUGGACUCAUUUAGCUCAGUUUUUGAGAUGUUUUAAAUCCUCAUGAGAACUAGUUGUAAUAAUUGGAGCCAAUGGAUGCACAUUGCGGCCAUACCUUUUUUUUUUUUGGUACCUGGGAUUGAACUAGGGUCCUUGCACUUUCAAGGCAGGCAGCUGCACCACUGAGCUAAAUCCUGGCCCCUGAGGCCAUACUCUCAAGUGAAAUAAAUAGGAUACAUAUAUGUAAAUAUCAAAUAGUUUCUCUGGUGAAAGUGUAAAUAAGGAUCAAAAUGUAUAAUAGAUAAUGUGAAAUAGGAAGAAAAGGUCCAAAGGGGAAGAGGAAGUGGGAGGGGUAGGGGAAAGAAGGGAAAGAAAUAAACAUGAGAAAAGGAAAAAAUUG